rnacentral:rRNA from 1 species
UAAUAACAGCCGCUUGGUGGAUGGCUUGGCUUCGUUAGCCGAAGAAGGACGCGGCAAGCCGCGAUAGUCUCGGGUUAGGCGCAUGCAGCCUACGACCCCGAGGUGUCCGAAUGAGGAUCUUCUACUUCGGUAGGUACCGAGAGGUACGGGAACGCGGGGAAGUGAAGCAUCUUACUACCCGCAGGAAAAGAGACAAAUUUGCAUGCCAUUAGUAACGGCGAGUGAAAGUGGCGCAGGGCAAACCGAACAGUCGCAGUAAUGCGAUAUGGAUGUGGAGUUGAAGGACUAGGGUCUAUCCCAGUCUCGCGACUCGAAGACGCCUGGAAAGGCGCGCGUUAAAGCGUGAUAGCCGCGUAGAGGAAGUGAGAAAGGAUAAUGCCUAGUAUCCUGAGUAACGUUCCCUAGAUACGGAGCGUGAAUCUGGCAGAAUUAAGUGCCAACCCUAAAUACUAACGAAGUCCGAUAGUGCAAUAGUACGGUGACGGAAAGCUGAAAAGAACGGCGUGAGCCGGGUUAAAAGAACCUGAAACCAAGUCGGUAUAAGUCAGCUAAGGCACGGAAGGUGCGACCCGAAGGAAACAGUCGAGAGGCUGCAGUACGAGGUGUCGCUUACAGUGUUUUAGCGUCCGUUUUGAAAAACGGGGCAAGGAGUGUAUAUCAGCGGCGAGGUUAACUCGUUUAAGCGAGGUAGCCGUAGCGAAAGCGACAAGCGCGUAAUGUUGAAUGUGGCGCGGCGUCUGAAAGGGCGUGAAGUCGCUGGUUUACGACCUGAAGCGUGUCGAUCUAAUCCUGAACAGGCUGAAGCCGUACGAAAGUAUGGUGGAGGGCCGAAGCGUUGUUGAACUGCCAAUCACUCGUGUGAUUUGGGAUUAGGGGUGAAAAGCCUAACGAGACACGAGAUAGCUGGUUCCUCCCGAAAUGCAUGUCAGUGCAGUCUAGACCGAGGCCGGUAUCAGGGUAGAGUUACUGAUUGUGAAGUCAAGGACCGAAAGGUUCAGCUUUGCUGCCAAACUCCGAACCUGGUACCGCCGUAGAAGUCUGGAAUGAGCUUACCGGGUUAAACUCGGUUGGCGAAAGGGAAAUAACCCCAACUAUGGUUAAGGUCCCAAAAUGUUGGCUAAACGUAGAAGGAAAUGUGCAUCCUCAGACAGCAGGACUGUAGGCUCAGAAGCAGCCAUCAGUUAAAAAGUGCGUAAUAGCUUACCUGCCGAGGAUGUGCGUUCUGAAGAUGGAAGGGACUAAGUCAACUACCGAUACCAUAGACCCUGAUAAGGGGUAGUAGGGAGGCGUACCGUACGGGCAGAAGCCUCUGCGUAAGCAGUGGUGGACCGUUCGGUAAUGCAGAUCUUGCCAUGAGUAGCAACGUAGUGGAGUGAGAAUCUCCACCGCCUUAAGUCUAAGGGUUUGCCAGCAAUGUUCGUCAGCUGGCGGUAAGUCGGUCCUAAACUAAACCUUAACCGGAUUUAGUGAUAGGGAAAUCGGUUAAUAUUCCGAUACCAUAUGGGUACGUGCGGCAACGCAAGGGUUGCUCGCGACGCAUCUGGACACGUGGACGUAAGUUAAGUGUUGAAGUCCCUGGAGUCUUGUAACGAGGAGAAGGGGAGGAAUGCACGAACAGCCCCGCGUAUGCGGAGUUCUGCGAAUUCCAGGUGCCCGUGAAAAGUGGGCAAUCAAGGAUCCUAUAUGUCCGUACCGAGAACCGUAACAGGUAGACUGGUUGAAAAGACCAUGGUGUGUUGGGAAAACCCUGCCUAGGGAAAUCAGCAAGUUAGCUCCGUAUCCUUGGUAUAAGGAGUGCCUGUUUCCUCGCAAGGGGAAGCAGGUCGCAGUGACAAGGGGAAGGUGACUGUUUAACAAAAACGAUGGAGAUUGCCAAUGCGCAAGCACAAGUACAAUCUCUUAAGCCUGCCCAGUGCCGGUAGGUCAAAGUCGGUUCCAACCGAUCGAAGCCCCGGUAAACGGCGGCGGUAAGGUCAGGAAGUGAGGGAGGCGAGUACGCAAGUAUUGCUUUCACAGUUCCAACGAACUACUUCUGGGAGGCGUUAAACAGGUUAGCCAAGGAGCAUCAUUCAGUAGGGUGGAUUACGAGUUGGAGAAAGAAAUCGAGAGAUUUUUCAAGCGAUUCAAAGUCGUUAUGGAAAGUUUCCCUCAUUUCGGACCCCGCAAACUCUGACCGUCGUAAAGUAGCGUAAUCCCUUGCCGUUUAAAUGACGGCCCGUCUGAAUGGCUCAACAAUCUUCCCGCUGUCCUGGGCGGGUACCCAGUGAAAUUGCCAUUCUGGUGAAUAAGCCAGAGACCUCUAGUGGGAUACGAAGACCCCGUAGAGCUUUACUGCAGUCUGUCGUUGUGGUAAAGUUUCCGCUUCAUAGAGUAGGUGGGACCCGUUAUGCCCAAGAUUUAGGUCUUGGGAUAGGGGAAAGUGUAACACCAUCAUUCGGGAACUUUACUGCUCACCCCAAAAGGGGACACCGUCAGAUGGGCAGUUCGGCUGGGGCGGCACGCCCUUGAAAAGGUAUCAAGGGCUCCCAAAGCUCAGCUCAUCCGGGGCAUGAUGCAAGUCGCAUUUUGCCUCGAAGAGCAUGAGGACUAAAAAACCUAACAGCUUUAGAGGCAUUGCCCACGUAAAAGAAACUGAAAUGACACAGUGACUAGAUCGCUCCAGUCUGACUUUCGAAAGGAUGAAGACAGAGGUAGCUGAUGAGUGUACAAGAGAAUUUUCGUGGACGCUUUGCGAUGUUUAAUAACGAUUUGCAUCACCCGACAGAAAUCCGGAGUAGAGUGCAAACGCAAAAGCUGGGCUGACUGGAUUCUAAAAAGUACGGAAUCCAGCUGCGAAAGCAUGGGUUAGCGAUACAUCGAGGCUUCUUAAUGGGGCCCGGUGGUCUAAGAAAAGCUACCUCGGGGAUAAUGGGCCCGUGGCCGGUGAAAGCCCACAGUAGUGGUUUUCACUCCCACAUAUUUCUGAAUCUGAUAGCAAAAAGAGCCUACAAGCUCUAAACUAAACGAUCAGCGAAUUGGGAUUCGAUAAACCGUCGUAAGACGGGCAUAUUGACCCGGCGCGUUGGUGCGUCGCUGUCGGCUCCCCCCCUCCUGGCUGUGCAGCAGCAGCCAAGGGUACAGGUGUCCACUGGUUAAAGGGGGACGCUAGCUGGGUUCAGAACGUCGUGAGACAGUUCGGUCGCUAUCUACUAGAGGUGUAAGCAAUCUGACCGGAAGGAGGCAUAAGUACGAAAGGAACAUGCCUCCGUGGCCUCUAGUGUAUCGGUUGUCAAUCGGCACUGCCGAGCAGCCAAGCCAUACACGGAUAAGAGCUGAAAGCAUCUAAGCUCGAAACCGUCCGGAAAUAAUAGAUUGCCA